rnacentral:rRNA from 1 species
ACGUAGGGGGCUAGCGUUAUCCGGAAUUACUGGGCGUAAAGGGUGCGUAGGUGGUUUCUUAAGUCAGAGGUGAAAGGCUACGGCUCAACCGUAGUAAGCCUUUGAAACUGGGAAACUUGAGUGCAGGAGAGGAGAGUGGAAUUCCUAGUGUAGCGGUGAAAUGCGUAGAGAUUAGGAGGAGCACGAGUUGCGAAGGGGGCUGUCUGGGGUGUAGCGGGUACUGAGGCACGGAGGGGUGGGGGGGGGAGGG